UAAUUAGAAAGUAAAUCUUCGAAUUAAAUAUUUGACAUUUAACUAUCUUCCCAAAAUCUCUUCACAUUAACUACACAAUUAGUUACUAAAAUAAAACUUCCAAAAUAUUUAAUAUCAUCUAAACACUACAAAAUUAUCAUUUUUGAUAUUGCUUUUUUCAUGACUAUAACAAUUCGAUUAUAAGCAUCAAACCGUAGAAAUAUUUGAUAGCAGUUAAUUACUACAAAAUUACAAAAUAUUUAUACAAUGAUUUAUAAACAUAUCAUAAAUAAAAUCAACAUUAAUAAAAUAAAUAGGUUUUUUUACGGGACGGGUUUGACAGGAUGUUACUUAAUAACAAUUGUAAACUUUAAAAUAAAAAUAUUUUAUAUAUAGAUACAAUUUGCAAACUUUUUUAUAUAUUAAAAAAUUAAUUGUCCCGCGGUGUACCGCAGGUUAAAAUCUAGUGGUUCUGAAUUUUGAUGAAAAAAAUAAAAUUAAAA
rnacentral:sRNA from 1 species